rnacentral:rRNA from 1 species
UACGGGGGGGGCAAGCGUUGUUCGGAAUUACUGGGCGUAAAGGGCUCGUAGGUGGCCAACUAAGUCGGACGUGAAAUCCCUCGGCUUAACCGGGGAACUGCGUCCGAUACUGGAUGGCUUGAGUUUGGGAGAGGGAUGCGGAAUUCCAGGUGUAGCGGUGAAAUGCGUAGAUAUCUGGAGGAACACCGGUGGCGAAGGCGGUUCUCUGGGCCUGACCUGACGCUGAGGAGCGAAAGCGUGGGGAGCGAACAGG